rnacentral:ncRNA from 1 species
GAAUAGACUAUGAAUGGGAAGAGUAGUUGGUAUGCCCUUCAGAGAGCGGAAUUGUAACGCUGAAAGAUUCCGUAGGAUGCAGCUAAGCGAAAGUCGCCCUGGAGUUGUUUGUUUGAGUCUUUGAUAACAUAUCAAGUGACUAGAACAGACCGGUUGCAGCCGUUAUCUGUAUGAGUGUCGUGAUUUGUUUAACGGUAAGCUUAUUUGUUUGUACUAAGCUGAACGUUCAAUUUACACGAAACAAAGGUGGUACCGCGAAAGAGUAACCUUUCGUCCUUUGA